UACGGAGGGUGCAAGCGUUGUUCGGAAUCACUGGGCGUAAAGCGCACGUAGUCGGCUUUGCAAGUCGGGUGUGAAAUCCCCGGGCUCAACCUGGGAACUGCAUCCGAGACUGCAUUGCUAGAGUAUGGGAGAGGGAAGCGGAAUUUCUGGUGUAGCAGUGAAAUGCGUAGAUAUCAGAAGGAACAUCAGUGGCGAAGGCGGCUUCCUGGACCAAUACUGACGAUCAGGUGCGAAAGCGUGGGGAGCAAACAGG
rnacentral:rRNA from 1 species